UACAGAGGCCUCGAGCGUUAGGCGGAAUCACUGGGCUUAAAGCGUGUGUAGGCGGACUUCUAAGUACCUUGUGAAAUCCCACGGCUCACCCGUGGAACUGCUCGGUAUACUGGUCGUCUUGAGCCUUCUAGGGGCGAGUGGAACAAAUGGUGGAGCGGUGAAAUGCGUAGGAUAUCAUUUGGAACGCCAAUGGUGAAAACAACUCGCUGGGGAAGUGCUGACGCUGAGACACGAAAGCCAGGGGAGCGAACGGG
rnacentral:rRNA from 1 species